rnacentral:misc_RNA from 1 species
UUUGACCUUUAAUUCUUGCUCUAACCUGUAUCAAGAAGUUGUUUCCAAGUGUAAAAUUCUUCAUGGCAGGUUUUCUUCUACUCCCUGGCUUUGCAGUCCUCAUUUUCAGACUAUCUUUUUGCAGUUCUUUGAAAGAGUACCUGCUUGCAAUUAUCAAAGACAGAUAUUUAAAACAUCUGAUGGUGGGACAAUAGCUCUGGAUUGGCUACGGAAUGUGGAUGAUAAAAAACCAUCCAUCAAAGGUUUUGAUGGAGUUCAGAGUGAUGAUAAAAGUCCCAUCAUGCUAGUGAUUCCUGGUUUAACAAGUGACUCUGAUUCUGCUUACAUUAAGCAUCUUACUUUCAAGAUGGCCAAACGUG